CUCCUUUUGCGAUUUUUCUGUAAUCUCUCCACCUCUCUCCUCUCUUUCCUAUUUCUCUGGUAAUCUCUCUUCCAUCUCUUGCUAACCUCUCUCUCAGAUCUCCGGAAGCUUGAAGGACUACAGAAGAAUUAGAGUGACAAUGAGUGUACGAGGAGCCAAUGUUUUGCUCUCUAGAGCCAACAGAAUCAAGCAAAAGUUGCAAUCUGGACUGGAAGCCAGUGUUUUAGAAAUAGAAGAUGUUUCCUAUCAACAUGCUGGGCAUGCAGGUGUUAAGGGCGAUGCAAAUGAAACCCAUUUUAAUGUCAAGGUCGUCUCACCGAAAUUUGAAGGGCAGAGCCUUGUGAAACGCCAUCGGUUGGUGUAUGAUCUUUUGGCAGAUGAGCUGCAAUCUGGAUUGCAUGCUCUUUCUAUCACUGCAAAAACUCCGCAAGAAGCUGGAGGAUGUUAAGGGCCCAUUUGGAUACCAACCAAUAAGUAAUUGCAUGUUUCGGAUGUGACGAAAAAAUGGAAAUGGGUUCUGAGCCAAGCCGAUUGCUGUCCAGCCAGCUCGGGUUUUUUGGUUUUUUCAGAGGACUUCGUUCUCUAGUUUCUGUGACUGGCAUUUUGGUGGUUGAUUGUUCUACUUUGUUUUGGUAAAGAAGGCAUUUUCCUCCAUUAGCAGUGUAAUAUUUGAAUAUUUUGAAACAUGUUCUAUACACAUCCAUUUCCUUUUGUAUGCAUCAUCAAACUAGAAAGGAGGAAUUAUCUGAUUGUUGGAUU